AUUGAACGCUGGCGGCAUGCUUUACACAUGCAAGUCGAACGGUAACAGGCCGCAAGGUGCUGACGAGUGGCGAACGGGUGAGUAACGCAUCGGAACGUGCCCCGUCGUGGGGGAUAACUGCUCGACAGAGCAGCUAAUACCGCAUCCGAUCCAUGGAUGAAAGCGGGGGACCGGACGGCCUCGUCCGCUUGGAGCGGCCGAUGUCAGAUUAGGUAUUUGGUGGGGUAAAGGCUCACCAAGCCAACGAGCUGUAGCUGGUCUGAGAGGACGACCAGCCACACUGGGACUGAGACACGGCCCAGACUCCUACGGGAGGCAGCAGUGGGGAAUUUUGGACAAUGGGGGCAACCCUGAUCCAGCAAUGCCGCGUGCAGGAAGAAGGCCUUCGGGUUGUAAACUGCUUUUGUACGGAACGAAACGGUCUGGGUUAAUACCCUGGGCUAAUGACGGUACCGUAAGAAUAAGCACCGGCUAACUACGUGCCAGCCGCCGCCGUAAAAC
rnacentral:rRNA from 1 species